AUUUUCCUGGUUUAUCAAGAUAAAGGGAUUAGAGAGCACAGCUUUCCAUAUUGAGUUUACUCAGCUGUCCUAAUGUGCUAGCGCUAGUUACAAAGAUAAUUGUGUAUAGUUUUUAGGUUAGUAAACAUUUUUUUCCUUCUUACUUUUUCAUACCAACACAGUCUGUGUCUAUGUAACCUUGCUGCUUCCUCAAGAAACUGACAUAUUACAGGAACAGUGGAUGGUGCUGCGUCCUACAGUUGUCCUGAUCUAUGUGUGAAGUCCAGAGGCUGACACCAGUCAGAAGACACUUGCCUUGCAGAGUAGGCACAAAGCUACAAGCACUGUGGCUGCUGCAUGGUCCAGUACCUAGACAAGCUCAUCUACAGACUUACAGUCUCUUGGAAGAUCUGCAACAGCUCUUUAUAGUACUGCUGUACUUCUCUCAUCAAGGCCUUUAUGCCAUGACAGAAGGACUGAAUAUUUCAGCUUAAUACUGAGGACAGAACCAAUUUGCUGCGAGGACAUCCCCCACAUCUUAUUUGCACCUGUGAUCAGGUGGACAGCUAAAGCCUGGACUAAUUGUGGAUAUGGGAACCACAUCUGUUGUGCUGAAUGGCCAUGUUGUCAGAUGUCACUACCACUGCUGAAUAGAGGCACAGCUUCCUGAAAUAACAUUGUGGUUUUUGAAGACAGCUGAGGCCUUGCAGACUAGUUUCACUUCCAACUAAAUCUUCUGCUAGGUAAGAAGAUGAAAAGGAGCUUGUUCCACUGAAGUAAAUGCAGCUUGCUAGUGGUACUGCUGGAAGCUGCAAUGCUGUGAAUCAAACUUCAAUUCAUUUCCUCAAUCAAGGAGUUUUGCCAGUGUCUGUUACUUGAGAACAAAAUGUAUGAUCAGAUUCAUACUAAAUAGUAACAAUUCUUUGUUCACUGUCAGGAUUUCCCUAGGUUUAUGAGUUUUCCAUCAGCUUUGAUGCAUCUGGUAUAGUUUCUUGCACCCAGACAGGACUUCCUCAGAUAGUUUUAGGUACAAAACCAGUUUUUUUUUUUAAUUAUCAACAUUGGAUAUCUUAGAUUAGAACCCUGGAUUUUCCUUCCUUCUUUACUAUGUAAACAGAGUGCAAGUAAAAAGCCCUUUUCACUUGCACUCAGGUUCCUGUACUCUCAAAGGCAGCAAUAUCACACAGUACACAUAAGGCACACGAAG